GUAGGUGGCAAGCGUUGUCCGGAAUUAUUGGGCGUAAAGCGCGCGCAGGCGGUUCUUUAAGUCUGAUGUGAAAGCCCACGGGCUCAACCGUGAGGGUCAUUGGAAACUGGAGAACUUGAGUACAGAAGAGGAAAGCGGAAUUCCACGUGUAGCGGUGAAAUGCGUAGAGAUGUGGAGGAACACCAGUGGCGAAGGCGGCUUUCUGGUCUGUAACUGACGCUGAGGCGCGAAAGCGGUGGGGAGACAAACAGGAUUAGAUACCCUGGUAGUCCACGACCGUAAACGAUGAGUGCUAAGUGGUUUACGGGGGUUUCCCGCCCCUUAGUGCUGCGGCUAACGCAUUAAGCACUCCGCCUGGGGAGUACGGCCGCAAAGGCUG
rnacentral:rRNA from 1 species